CACCGGCAGUCACCGCCAUCACAGUUUUCCACCACUAUUCCCGGCUCAGCAACAACAGCCCACCUUGCGGAAGGAAGCACAAAAAUCGGUUGCGCCAUUUAUAUAUUUCUGUGUGUGAGCAAUAUUCCCGUGUUGUGUGACCUUGCAAUGGCAGCAGGAGGAAUGGGGAGUGAUGGGAGGAAGAGGAGAGGAGGCUUUUCCACGAAGUAUAGGCGCGCAAUUUGCUCCAAUCUAAUUUACGUGGCACACACACACACACACUGCCAGUGCUUGUGGCAUUCCCUCGCACACUUACAGCCUGUUGUAACCAGCUUUUGGUUAGAGCGAGAGGGAGCCGGGCAUUCCUGGUGGAAAAAUGGGUUCUCCAAAAAAAAAAACCCUCCCCAAAAAGGGUGGGAUGAAGUAUAGUUUUUCCCUUAGUUUGUUGGCGUUUUUCGUGGAAAUGCUUAACACGAAGAUGGUUGUGGCGCUCAACGAGAAGAGGGUUUGUGUGGAGCAACAGCGGAGAAGGAGGGUCAUGGACGUGUGUGUAAAAAUAAAUCCCCCCCCCCAUCCCACUGCUUUGGGGGGAAGAUUUUGUCACAUUUUUCUGUUGUGUGUGUGUGUGCCGCUCUGUGGCCGUUGACGUGUGCGAUAAAGUGCUGCUUCUGCGCGGCACCGUAUCAUCCCACUCCCGUUCCCUGGAGGUGGUGCCACCUCACCCCGCCUUCCUCGCGCCUACCCUCGACACUUGGCUCGACAUUCAAUUCGGAUAAGUUCAAGGCCACGGGUGCGACACAGCCCCGAGCGAGAGAGAGAGAGAGAGAGAGAGAGAGAGAGAGAAAGAGGCAGAAAACAGAAGCAGGUUGAGUGAGUGUAUCGUUUGAUGGGGUCGAGCAUCAUCUGGGCGGCGAUGAGUGCACCCCAUACACACCCUCGCACCCGGGUGAUGGAACUCGUAGAAAUGCGCCACAAUAAUUAAAAUCAAACUGUUUGGCGUAAAACACACACACACACACACAGAUUUUUCCUUCGAUCUGCCUGCCGCCGAUGCGCGCUUCCCGGUUUUGUUUUAUCGCCCUUUGCUGCGAAACAUGCUGAGUGGCUAAUAAUGGCGGGUAGCAGCAGCGCGCACAUGGAUGGAGUCGCAAAGAUGGAGGUCACGAGCAAUGGCCGCGCGAGCUCGCUGCGUGCGAGAGAGCGAGUACGCGCCAUUGUGUACGCCGGUGUCUCCUCCAUCAUCAUAGCCGCCUCGAUCGUCAUCAUCAUCAUCAUCGUCGUGCGGCUCGAUUAAAACCUUCAACGUGUGUGUGUGGGUGACAUUGAUAAAAAAACUCCGUUCGUCGCCUCGCACACGCGCGCGCUCGCUCUCUCUCGCUCUGAAUGUACUGCGCGCUGUACGCUUCCCGGUUGAACGCUCUCGAUGGCCGGCUCAGCGCGCUCACAUCGUCGCUCACCAGCCGGCACUCACCAGCGCACACGCUGGUGGAGGCGCCCCAAAGCCCCAACGGGGACCGCACCGCUGCCAGUGAGCGACGAGCCGUUGAACCGGGCUGCUGCGAAAAAGGAGAGCAAAAGCGCGCGUGCCUCGCGUGUGUGUGUGUGUGUGGGCGCAUUUUUAGUGGCCCCUCCGUGUUUUAGUAGAGCGCUGCCCGCUUUUGCUGCUUUAUACUCGUGUGGGGAAGCGUGCAACAACGGCCGUUUGCGGUAGAAGAAAAGCAUAUCGUUGUGGCGUUGCAAAUGAGCGGUGAAGUGUGUGCAAAAAGUUUUAGCGAAGUGUGUUCGAGCAGGGCGACGGAAAAAAACAUGUGUUUCAGUGUUCUUACAAAUAGUUCUAGCAGUGUUCUUUAAUAGUUUCCAUUUUUCCCCUCUUCUAAAAGCAGUAGUAACCACGUGAUACACAAAUGAAAAGUAAGAAACAAGAUUAGUAAAAUAU